rnacentral:lncRNA from 1 species
ACACUCAUGGGAUACAGAGAAACCAUCCCUUUUUCUUCUUCUUUCCCGUGAUUCCCUCAAACACUCACUCUCACUCUCUCUCUCUCCCUUCGAACACUCUCUCUCUCUCUCUUCAUACGGACCAUCAUCAAAGUUCAUCAAAACUUCACAGAUCGAAGAAACAAAGAUCACCAUCGUCUUCGUCUCGUCGAUACGAGUUCAUCCAUACCUAUUUCAGGUAAGAACUUCAACGUUUUCACGUCCAACCACUCACCUCCGAGUUUGACACUAUUCAUCAACUUUGUAUUGGUUGAUUUUUAGGAGUUUUCAAGCUUGUAGGAAGCUUCUUGAGGUCCUUAGGAGGCUCGGCGUAGUUCGUUGGAGGUUUUUGGACGUAAGAAUAUCGAGAUCGAAAAGUUCAAGUUUGACCCGUGCCUUUCGAGUCGUUUUCCGGCCAAACCACGGAGAGUUAGACGUCGUGCGAGGUACCAUUCUCUUCGUCUCUUCGAGAAAUACAACUUUCGUUUUUGUUUCACCCAAUUUCGUUGAGUAUUAAAGAAGUUAUACUCAUUUGAAUCUUACCCAGUUUCCGGCGAGUCCGACGGCUUUCGAGGCUUUUUACGGUGAAUUAUCGGCGAUUUAAGGGUCGAGAAGGGUAUAGAUAUGUUUGUCUCGUCAAUAUCUUCAGUUUGAUAUAAAGUACGUUGAAAAUGGUGAAGAAAUGACAAAGUUAUGGCAAUUUGAAAAACUGCCCAGAAACCGGCGAAACCAGUCCGGCGAGCCGAGGAAGAAGACGCGCGUGGGCGCGCGUGGACCGCCACUUUGGGCGGCGCGUGGGGGCGCGUCCGGCAUCCGACCGGCGCGUGGUUUGUACGUACGCGUUAGUGUCGUCGAGUAGAUCGAUUUCAUAUAUUUAUACCCUAGGUUUGAGCAAAUUAUGAGCGUUUUAUUUAGGUUUCCGUUAUGUGCUUUAAUUAAUGUUAUUUAGUUAUUUCAUAUAUAGGGGAAACUUAUUCCGAGGAUUUUCGAGGCCAAGCUAGGCUCGGGGGCUACGAUUUAACGACGUACUUGUGAGUGGGUAGUUGUUUAUACCUAUAUAUAUUUAUAGUUUCCAUAAAUGCGUAUUUACUUCAUUUUUACGCCUAUAUUGCCUAGUAUCAUUAUUAUGAUAUAAAUUGUGAUAAAUGCUGCUAUAUGGUUGUGAUAUUACUGUCAUGGCAUCAUACAUACUUGUGUACAUGCUCAUCUUGCUGCACCUGGUGUUAGUACUCGCCCCAGGGCCAGGGCCAGUCCUUCACGUGUAUGUUCACAUCCGCACCGUUCGCUCACCUUGGAUCCAAGUUUAGGUGCCAGUCUUGUCGGGUAGAUUGCAUUAGGCGAUCUGACUUGUAUGUGAUGUGCUUUUGCACCAGUUUUCACGUGAUCGUAGUACUAGAGCAUAUUGAUUACACCCAGUCCUGUUCGUGUCAGAAACCAUCUGUCCAAACUUGUGUGUCAGCUUAGAUGGAUGAGCACUUAGUUGUAUUGAUUAUCACUUGAUUAUUAUUGUGGCAUAUGAUACAUCAUUGACUUGGCAUAAUUCUGGUUAUAUGGUUUAUAUAUAUUGGAUUUCAUACUUACGUAGUAUGUUUUGAGGAAAU